rnacentral:rRNA from 1 species
UACGAAGGGGGCUAGCGUUAUUCGGAAUUACUGGGCGUAAAGCGCACGUAGGCGGAUAGUUAAGUCAGGGGUGAAAGCCCCCAGCUCAACUGCGGAACGGCCUUUGAUACUGGCUAGCUUGAGUAUGGUAGAGGUGGGUGGAAUUCCAGGUGUAGAGGUGAAAUUCGUAGAGAUCUGGAGGAACACCAGUGGCGAAGGCGGCUUCCUGGUCCAAUACUGACGCUGAGGUGCGAAAGCGUGGGGAGCAAACAGG